rnacentral:rRNA from 1 species
UAUCUCUGUAGAGUCUGCAUAUCAAUAAGCGGAGGAAAAGAAACUAACUAGGAUUCCCUAAGUAACGGCGAGUGAAGCGGGAAGAGCUCAAAUUUGAAAUCUUCAAGGUUCUACCUUGACGAAUUGUAGUUUAAAGAAGUGUUUUCUGUUGGAGUUUUGGUAAAAGUUCUUUGGAAUAGGACAUCAUAGAGGGUGAGAAUCCCGUAUUUGACCAUUAUUUCCAGCUUUGUGAUACACUUUCAAAGAGUCGGAUUGUUUGGGAAUGCAGUCCAAAAUGGGUGGUAAAUUUCAUCUAAAGCUAAAUACUGGCGAGAGACCGAUAGCGAACAAGUACCGUGAGGGAAAGAUGAAAAGAACUUUGAAAAGAGAGUUAAACAGUACGUGAAAUUGUCAAAAGGGAAGCGUUUGACACCAGUGUUGUUUUCUCGAAAAUCAAUUAAAAAUGGCGGGAUUUUGUGUUGUAUUGACUUUAUCAGCUUUCUGCACUUUUUUCUUGCCUUUUUUAAUGCACUUUUCGUUUAACAAGUCAACAUCAAUUUCUUUUGUUGUAAAAGGUCAUUGGAAGGUGGCUCUCUCUUUCGGAUGAAAGUGUUUAUAGCCUUUGGCUUCUGCAAUCGGAGAGAUUGAGGUCUGCAGCGUAGAUCCUUCGGGGUUAGAUACAUUAGAUGCUAAGUUAUAGCUUUUUAUAGACAACUUGUUGACUAUGAUUAAGUCAUGUAGCUUACUCGUUUGCGCUAUUUUACCUACGCUUAGGAUGUUGAUCUCUCACAGUCGAGC